CGGAGUAUGCUGGAACAGAGCUGGAAUCAGACCUGGUACCCUCAGAGCAGUGGUAGCAACCAUCUUGCUGAAGACAGGAGCCUCCUUCUGGAUUUCCAGAAGCUGAAGAAGUACCAGAAAAUGCUAUGCACAAAGCAGUGAUGAAGACUGUGUGCCUCACACACCCAAAGAGAUCACUCUGUCCUGUGUCGGGGUUUUCUCAAGAAGAAAUUGAAGUUCCAGAUUCUUUCUGCCUUGGAGGGAGAGGAAAAUGGCCCCUGACUAGAACCUUCUUCCCUUCUUCCCUUUUGUGAGUUUCAUAAAAGCAGGGCCAGCCGCCAGGUAUUUGCUUCAUUGAAUUAGGCAACCACGAUCAAAAUCCCUCAGAGGAGAUACACACAGGAGAUACGCCUUCACACAUCAGCAGGAAAAUAGAGGAGGAGAAAAAGUUUAGAUUUUAUAAAAACCUAACUCUGUUCUUUACAUGAAUGUGCGAUUUUAGAUUAAAUAUGCCUGGGGGCAAACAAGCUGGUACUUUAUUUCUUCCCUCCUGUUCAAAAGACUGUGCUUCUGCCUCAGACAUGGACACUCCAAGCCCAGGGACCACAGGCUCUGACUUCUCUUCACUGCUCUCCGUUUCCUCAUCUAUAAAAUGGGCAUCAUAAUCUGGGCCUGGAACAGCUCUUGGGGUUCCUAGUGUGAGAACCUGUUCUGCGUCAUAAACAUUCAAUACAACAAUACGGGUGAAAAAAUAAA